rnacentral:sRNA from 1 species
GGAGGACUUCGUGAAGGAUUCAGGCGCCUGCUUCAGUGCAAGUGAGCCUGACGCUGUGCACGUCGUGCUGGACCGCCACCUGGUCACGGGCCAGAAUGCCAGCUCCACUGUCCCGGCCGUGCAGAACCUGCUCUUCCUCUGUGGCAGCCGGUGAGGGUACCAGGGUGGGCACAUUCCUGCCACAUCAGCAGAGCUGCACCUGGUGCUUUUGCCCAAGCCUUGACCACACGUCUGUCCUGCAGGAAAUGAACCUGCUGGGUCGAUGCACCCCCUGAGACAGCCCAGGUGU